rnacentral:rRNA from 1 species
UAGCGUAGGGCGCAAGCGUUAUCCGGAAUUAUUGGGCGUAAAGAGCUCGUAGGCGGUUUGUCGCGUCUGCUGUGAAAGACCGGGGCUCAACUCCGGUUCUGCAGUGGGUACGGGCAGACUAGAGUGCAGUAGGGGAGAGUUGGAAUUCCUGGUGUAGCGGUGGAAUGCGCAGAUAUCAGGAGGAACACCAAUGGCGAAGGCAGAUCUCUGGGCCGUAACUGACGCUGAGGAGCGAAAGCAUGGGGAGCGAACAGG